UACGAAGGGGGCUAGCGUUGCUCGGAAUUACUGGGCGUAAAGGGAGCGUAGGCGGCCAGUUAAGUCAGUGGUGAAAGCCCAGGGCUCAACCCUGGAAUUGCCUUUGAUACUGACUGUCUUGAGUAUGGGAGAGGUAUGCGGAACUCCGAGUGUAGAGGUGAAAUUCGUAGAUAUUCGGAAGAACACCAGUGGCGAAGGCGGCAUACUGGCCCAUUACUGACGCUGAGGCUCGAAAGCGUGGGGAGCAAACAGG
rnacentral:rRNA from 1 species